rnacentral:rRNA from 1 species
GACGAACGCUGGCGGCGCGCUUAACACAUGCCAGUCGAACGGAAAGGCCUGCUUUCCCUUGUGGAUUGCGGGUACUCGAGUGGCGAACGGGUGAGUAACACGUGAGUGAUCUGCCCCCAACUUGGGUAUAAGCCUGGGAAACUGGGUCUAAUUCCCGAUAGGACUGCAGGGUGGUGCCUGUGGUGGAAAACGAUUUUCUAGUGGUUGGGGAUGAGCUCGCGGCCUAUCAGCUUGUUGGUGGGGUAAUGGCCUACCAAGGCGGCGACGGGUAGCCGGCCUGGGAGGGUGGACGGCCACAGUGGGACUGAGAUACGGCCCAGACUCCUACGGGAGGCAGCAGUGGGGAAUAUUGCACAAUGGGCGGAAGCCUGAUGCAGCGACGCCGCGUGGGGGAUGACGGCCUUCGGGUUGUAAACUCCUUUCGACCGCGAGGAAGCCACCUGGUUGGAAGGGUGGUGACGGUAGUGGUAGAAGAAGCACCGGCUAACUACGUG